AGGUCUUCCAGGGCGAUUUGAUGCUGUGAGUUCACAGUUGAAUGAUGCUGUUUGCUAGAAACUCAGCAAUGAUGGAUAAAACACGAAAGUGAAAACUAAAAGAUAGAUUGGGGCUCAACUACAAGAUAAACAUCUUCACGGAUUGGACACACAGAAACACAAGCUGAAGCCAUGGGCUUGCUGGACCCUGGGUCCAGAUCAGGUUGUGAGGGUUAUCUAAGUAAAAAUCACUGCUGUUUGAAGAUCAGAGCUGAAGAGACGCCUACUGAACAUGCUCAUGAAAGGACCCCAAAAACAAAAGGCUACAAAAUGCUGCUGAAGGAAAACAUUUUCAGAUCAUACAUCUGAUGAGGGACUUGUAUCUAGAUUAUACAAAAAAUUCUUACAACUCCACAAUAAAAAGACAAAUAACCCAAUUAAAAAUGGUCAAAAGACCUGAAUAGACAUUUCUCCAAAGAAGAUACUCAGGCAGCCAAUGAACACAUGAAAAGGUGCUCAAUGUCAUUAGUCAUCAGGGACAUUCAAAUUAAAACCACAGUAAGAUACCACUUCACACCCCCUAGGAUGGUUCUAAUAAAAACAAUGGGCAAGUGCUAACAAAGACAUGGAGGAAAUGGAAUCCUCAUAUAUUGCUUGUGGGAAUGUAAAAUGGUGCAGCUGCAUGAAAAACAUUUUGGCAGUUCCUCAAAAAGCUAAGCCUAGAAUUAGCACAUGACAAAGUAAUUCCACUCCUAGGCAUAUACCCCAGAAAGCUGAAAAUAAUUGUCCAUAUAAAAACUUGUACAGGGGCCGGCCCCGUGGCCGAGUGGUUAAGUUCACCCUCUCCGCUGAGGUGGCCCCAGGUUUCGCUGGUUCGGAUCCUGGGCGUGGACAUGGCACCACUCAUCAGGCCACAUUGAGGUGGUGUCCCACGUGCCACACUAGAAGGGCCCACAACUAAAAUAUACAACUAUGUACUGGGGGGAUUUGGGGAGAAAAAGCAGAAAGGAAAAAAAAGAUUGGCAACAGUUGUUAGCUCAGGUGCCAAUCUUAAAAAAAAAAAACAAAAAAACUUGUACAGAAAGGCUCAUAGCAGGUGCUAGGGACUGAAUAGUGUUCCUUCUGAAUUCAUAUGCUGAAGCCCUGCCCUCCAGCAUGAGGGUAUUUGGAGGUGGAGCCUACAGGAGAUAAUUAGAUUUGGAUGAGCUCAUAAUGGUGGGGCCUCCCUGAUGGGAUUAGUGCCCUCAUAAGAAGAAACACCAGAGAGCUUACUCUCUUUCUGUCUACCACGUAAGGACACAGUAAGCCAGGAAGGCAGUUCUCACCAGGACCCCAUUAUCCUGCCACUUUGAUCUCAGACUUCCAGCCUCCAGAAUUGUGAGAAAUGAAUUUCUGUUGUUUCAACCACCUAGUCUAUAGUAUUUUGUUAUGGCAGCCUGAAAUGACUAAGAUAGAUUUUAGUAGAAAGUGGGCUGCUGCUGUAACAAAUACCUAAACAUGUGGAAGCAAUUUUGGAACUGAGUAAUGAGUAGAGGCCAGAAGAAUUUUGAGGUGCAUGCUAGAAAUAUGGAUGUUACAAUUUUGACACUAAUUCCAAUGUGUGGGUUUUUUCCCCACACCAAGCAAUUCUCUGGCGCUAGCUGGGUGUCCUACAAUUCAGCUCAAUUCUGACACUGCCUACCUGAAGAUAGCAUCAUAUUCCACAGGUAAAGGGCUCAGUCCCAUGAGACCGCCCACGCUUCAGAUGCCAAUCGCAAGUCCAGGUUGUUAACUGUGCUUCUGACUGACUGGCUGUAAAUGAGAGGUUCCUACAACCCCCGCCUUGGGUUUGAUUAGUUUAUGAGAGCAGCUCAUGGAACUCAGGAAACAGGUUUACACACUAGAUUACCAGUUUAUUACAAAGGAUGUUAAAGGAUAACAAAUCAACAGCCAGAUGAAGAGCUACAUAGGGUGAGGUCCUGAACAAAGGAACUCUAUCUUCAUGGAGUUGGGGCCUGGCACAGUGGCACAUGGAUGCAUUCUGGUUCAUUAAUUUGGAAGCUCUUCAAACUCUAUCCUUUUGUGUUCUUAUGGAGGCAUCAUUACGUAGGCACAAUUGAGUAAAUCAUUGGCCAUUGGCAAUUGAACUCAAUCUCCAGCCCCCCUUCCCUCCUUAGAUGUCCAGGGUUGGGACUGGAAGUUCUAAUCAUCUAAUCACAUGGUUGGUUCCUCUGUCAACUAAUCUCCAUCCUUGGAUUACUUAGGGGCUUUCCAAAAGUCACCUCAUUAACGUAAGAAAGACACCUGUAUAGCUCUCAUCACUCAGGAAAUUCCAAGAGUUUUAGGAAUUCUGUGCUAGGAACAGGACAGUGAGCAAAUAUCUAUUUCUUAUUAUAAAUCACAAUAUCACAGAUGUUAAUGGCAAUUCUGGUGAGGUCAUGGAAAUGAGAAACAUGUCACUGAAAACUGGAGCGAAGGCAAUCCUUGUUAUAAAGUGGCAAAGAACUUGGCUGAACUAUGUUCUAGUGUUUUGUGGAAGGUAGAAUUUGUGAGUGAUAUAAUUGGCUAUCUAGCUGAGGAGAUUCUAAGCAAAGUAUUGAAGGAGCAGCCUCAUUCCACCUGACUACUUACAAUAAAAUACGAAAGGAGAGAGAUGAAUUGAAGAAGGAAUUGUUAACCAAAAAGGAAGGAGAACUUGAAGAUUUGGAAAACUCUCAGCCUAUACAUAUUGCAAAAAGUAAGAAAACUUGUUCUGAAGAGAAUGCUAAGCAUGUGGCAGAAGAGAUCACGGGUGCAACUCAUGGACUUAAUCAGCUAUCUCAGCAGAAGCCAAAAGAAAUAGAGAUGGUAUUAUACUAGCAAAGACACUUCCAGUUUGAACUAAAGGGGACAGAGAAAGAAGGACGGAAUGUAAGAAGGCUGUCAGAUUCUUGGAUUCUCCAGGACUGGACUAUAGAGAUAUUCAUCUACAAAUGUGCACUAUUCUUCAUAAAAACAGAAGAAUGACCCCCGAGGCAAUCAGAGAUCAUAAGAGCUGCCUUCUUGGUUUCAAAGAGUGAGGUCACUGCCUCAAUUUCAACAGGCCAAAGGGCCUCCACCCUAGAGCUUUGGGGGUGGGGCCACCCAGAGCCUUGGAGGCAGGACCCCAGCCUGGCAGAGCCUUGGGGGCGCAAUCUCUGCCUAGCAGAGCUGAGGGGGCAGGAUUGCCACCUGAGUGAGUCGUAAAGGUAGAACUGCCAACCCAGUGGUUCUGGAUAGUGAGAUAUCAAGCCAAAGUAGGAUUAUUUUCAAGCCUUGAGACCUAAUGGAAUUUGCCUCACUAGGUUUUGGACUUGCCUGGGACCUGUCAUGCUGUCUUUCUUUCCUAGUUCUCCCUUUUGGAAUGGGGAUGUCCAUUCUAUGCCUGUCCCUCAAUUGGAUUGCACAUAAUUUAUCUGGUUUCACAGGUUCACAGCUGGAGAGGACCUUUCCCUCAGGAUGAAUAAUACCUUGAAUUGCACCCAUAUCUGAUGAUAUUUAGAUGAGACUACGGACUUCAGACUUUAGAGUUAAUGCUGGAAUGACUUAAGAUUUUGGGGCCUGUUGAAGUGAAAUUAAUGUAUUUUGCAUGUGAGAAGAACAUGAAUUUUGGGAGGCACAGAAUGCUAUGGACUGAAUUAUGUCCCUCUUAACGUUCAUAUGUUGAAGCCCUAACUCACAAUGCGAUAGUAUUUGGAGAUGGGACCUUUGGGAGGUGAUUAGGUUUAGAUGAGGUCAUGAGAAUGGAGCCCUCCUGAUGGGAUUAGUGCCUUUAUAGGAAAAGACACCAGAGCACUCGCCCUCUCUCUACCACGUGAGGAUACAACAAGAAGGCAACCAUGUGCGAGCCAAGAAAAGAGCCCUCACAAGAAACUGACCAUGUUGGCACCCUGAUCUCAGACUUUUAGCUUCCACCCAGUCUAUAGUAUUUAGUUACAGCAGCGUGAGAUGACUAAGACAGUAGGAUUGUUCAUGAAUCAAAGAGCGGAAACAACCCAAAAGUCCAUCAGUUGGAAUUGGCAGGGGGGCACUAAUACAUCUAAUAAUGAGAGUUUAUUGAGCCAAGUGCUUAAGUACUUUCCAGAUGCUAUUCUAAUCCUGAGAAAGAUUUUGCAAGGAAGAAUUUUUUCCCAGGGGGAAUUUCUCCAUGGUAGUUUGCAUACAGCUGCAACUGAAACAGCGGUCUGGUGGUGGAGACUGAAGGACAGACAGUGGGGCCCCAGGUUCCCUCAGUCUUGACGCUCUUCCUGUCCCUUGGGUCUCAUCAUACCUGCAUGGUGAAAGCUGCGUUGCUGCCUUCUGGUUCCAGCACACAGAAAAGGCAAAAAGAAGAACACGAAAGAAACCCACAGCUGUCGUAAAGUCCCUGGCCCAGAAGUGGCCACAUCACUUCAGCUCACAUUCCCUUGGCUACAACUUAGUCACGUGUUCGCACCUAACUGCAAGGGAGACUGGGAAAAGGGGUGCAGCUGUGUCCCACGUCUUGAUGGACAGCUAGCUGACUCGAAUGUAAAUAACCGAAAUUAUUGGAAAUUAUGGGAAAUAUUGCUCUUAGGGUUGGUGGCAGGAUUCUUCUUAAGGUCAGGAAUAAGGAGCAAGAUGGCAGUUAAGGGAUUUCCCGUGAUAGGGAAGGGCCAAUGAGUUUUAGGCCCACUGAUAGUUAAUAGUGAGUUUUACUUUUCUCUGUUCUCUGCUGGAAUCCCAUGAUACACUCUGCUCUUACAGAAGAUCUGUUACAGACAGCUGCCUUGAGUUGGAGGUGCUUGGGGCAUGAAGGAUGGGACUGUGAUGGGCGGAAUAAUGCCUUCUCCAAAGACGCCAUCACGCUAAUCCCCAGAACCUAUGAGUAUAUUAGUUUACACGGCAAAGGGACUUUUGCAGAUGUGAUUAAGAUUAGAGACUUUGAGAUGGGAAAUUAUCCUGGAUUCUCCAGGUGGGCCCAAUCUAAUCGUAUGAGUCCUCAUAAACAGAAUCUUUUCUGGCUGUGGUCAGAGAACCAAAGAGACAGCAGCAUAAGAACUCAGCCCGACAUUGUUGACUUUGAAGAUGGAAGAUGAAGAUGGAAGGGGCCGUGAGCCAAGGAAGGCAGGCAGCCUCUAGAAGCUGGAAAAGGCGAGGAAGUGGAUUCUCCCCAGAGCCCCCAGACGGGAAUGCAAACUUGCCAACACCUUGAUCCCAGCCCAGUGACAUCCGGGUUGGACUUCUGAUCUAUAGAACUGUAAGAUAAAUUUGUGUUGUUUUAAACCUCUAAGUCGGUGGUAAUUUUUCACGGUAGCAAUGGAAAACCAAUACAGGGACCUGUGUUCCCGGUUCAGAAGAAAUGGUGAAGAGGGGCCAUGGAGACACAGGAAAACAUUGACUGGGAAAUUGAGGGUUAUGAGCGUGAAGUGACAACGACAGCCAGGUGAAGCUGCCUUGCCCACUCAGGCCGGAGUCCUCCGGAGCAGUGUCAGCAUCACGCAGCGUCUAUGUGGCCAGUGGCAGGGAGAAUCCAGUCUCUCAGCCUCUCCUCCACACAUUCACCCCAAAGCUGAAGCCCGCACUGGGCCUACAAGGGCUUUUAUUCAUAGAACAAUGGGUAUGAACAGACAGUUAAAAGUCACUUUCUAUUUUCCUCCUUUUCACUUUUCUCUUUCUUUUUUGUUUUCCCUAGAAUCAAUGACAGGCAACCUUUGGGUUGCUAGAAAUGGUUAUUAAAUUAAGAACAGUUGCAUACAUAGAUAAAAUAGAAGCAUGAGCAUAUGAAAGGCCAGAGUAAGGUUCAUCUACAUUUCAGAAGAAUGGUUCCAGGCCCAGGGAUUCCUGUGCAGUUGUCCUUGGGAGGAGUGUGGGGUCCCUGAGUAAAAAUGAGAAGAGGUCCAGGGGCAGGGAGGAGGGCCUGGCAGUCCCCGGAGCAGUUAGUUGCACUGGACCCUCUGAAGAGCUCUGACUCUGAACAGGCCCAGCCUCUGGGUUCCCUAGGGUUAGGCCACACUGUUUCUCCUAACUGCAACUGAAUAAUUGGGGUGUUACGAUAAAUUUGCCACUUGCCUCUCCUCCUAGACAAUAAACCCCAAGAGGACAGGGAACAUGUACCCACAAGGCCCUGCACACCAUGGCACACAGCAAGCACUCAAUAAAUGUUCAGUGAAUGAAUAAGUCAAUGAACUUUGUAGAUUUGUAGAUGUAUUUGUGGAUAAUUUGUUGAUAAAAAGCUGUGUAUGUUCGGGGCUCUCUGAUAGCGCUCCACGGAGGACCGGGAUUCUGAGCUGGGCCUUAAAGGAGUCUUUGAGUUUAGAAGGAAUCCACCUUCUAGUAGAAAGGAAGCAUUGCAGUGAAAAUGCAACCCUAGGGCUGCCAUGCAGGUUGGGCAGUGGGCAACUAUGGCUUUUUCGUGUUGGGCCCUAUUAGGAAAGAUGUG
rnacentral:lncRNA from 1 species